rnacentral:rRNA from 1 species
CCUACGGGUGGCAGCAGUGAGGAAUAUUGGUCAAUGGCCGCAGGGCUGAACCAGCCAAGUCGCGUGAGGGAUGACGGUCCUAUGGAUUGUAAACCUCUUUUGUCAGGGAGCAAAGGGCGCCACGUGUGGCGUUUUGCGAGUACCUGAAGACAAAGCAUCGGCUAACUCCGUGCCAGCAGCCGCGGUAAUACGGAGGGUGCGAGCGGUGUCCGGAUGUAUUGGGUUAAACGGGUGCGCAGGGGGAAUGGAAAGUCAGCGGUAAAAUUUCGGGGCUCAACCCCGUCGUGCCGUUGAAACUGGCGUUCUUGAGUGAGCGAGAGGUAUGCGGAAUGCGUGGUGUAGCGGUGAAAUGCAUAGAUAUCACGCAGAACUCCGAUUGCGAAGGCAGCAUACCGGCGCUCAACUGACGCUCAGGCACGAAAGCGUGGGUAUCGAACAGGAUUAGAUACCCUAGUAGUC